AUUAUUUUUUAGCCAAUGAAAUAAAAUUCAAACAUACCAUUUUAUGGCAAUCUCAUUAUUCCAUGUAUUCAAUGUUAAUAAUCAGUUAACUCCAUUUUCAGAUUCUCAUAAUGGAGGAUCAAACAAUAUUGGUCCAAAAUCAACCUGCUUUGAAAAUUAAGACUGGCAUGGUACAAUUGGUGUUGAAUAAGAUUUUCUGCCUCAGCAAAGGCUUGGAUAAUACUCAGAUGACAUCUUAAAGGCAGAGAGAUCUUUAAUCAACUGCUCAGAAUCUCGCUGUGUUUCAAAUUCUUUCCAGUCGUUGUCGCAACCCCACACCCGAACUACAAGUCUUCGACAUUUGGGAGAUGAUUGUUGCAAAUAUGUUUUGUACCAGUUAAUAACGUCAUUCUUGUGAAUGCUUUUCAGUUCUUCUGCCUCUUUCUGUGAAAAGUUGAACAUAUACCUUUUAUCGAUAAUCUGAUUCCAGAGCCUAUUGGUUUCAUACUGGAGGGAAGGAUCUUUUUCCAGUAGCUUAGCCAUUAACCCACUUCUGUAGUUCUCAAAGGAUGCUUCAUCAAGUCCUUCCUGCAAUAACAACAUAUAUAUUCACAGACAUUUGCUAGGAAGGGGAAAAAUGGCAUUUGAAAGCAAGUUGUUUUCUAAAUUCUACACUUUUUCUUUUGGGUAAGUGGAGGGAAUGAAAAACUUGUAUAGAAAAUAGGUCCUUUGGGAGGAGGGGAGGACUAGUACAAAUCUUUUCUCCUUGUAAAGAGUCAAGGAUGAAAUCAAAUUUUUCCUAUUAAAAUUAAAGCUUCAAAAAUGUGAGAGUAACAAGUUCCUCUUCCUUACUCCCCACCCGCCCUUCUUUUUUUUCCAUGCGCUCACUUUCCUCCCUGUUUUCUUCCCAAACAGAUCUAACAGUGAUGGACUCAACUCACCCAUAAUUUACUGGAUUUAUCAUUAAAUUUCAAUAUAGUUAAAUUAAUUUCAAUUUGUUGCAUAGAAAUCAGUCCAACUUUAAUUUUUAUUUAAAUAGCGUCAUUAUCAUCGUAUUUCAACACAGAUUUGGUCCGAUUUCUGAUAUGGCAGCUAAGAAAAUCCUAUGCCCUACAUUUUAUUUUACAACUAGAUUUAAAAUAAUAAUAAUAAUGAAAAGAAAGAAAGAAAGAAAACAUCAUGUGGUUGCUGCAUCAGACCAACUGAAUAUUUACUGAAAUUUGGCAAUAGUGACCUUACCAAGAUACAAAUCGAAGUUGAUUUAUUUUACAUGAAAAACUGAAUUUAAGCAGCUGCGCUGUAAUUUAGCAAUAAGCACAAGAAAUCCUCAAAAUAUGCAAUUCCUAUGAACAUCAUAACAAAUCAUUUGAAGACAGCAGAUAAUCCUCAUAAAUGGGCAACAGAAACCUUGAUCAAGACUAAUUAGAACAUAUAUUUAGCACAAAAUGGGAAAACCAAAAUCUGUGAAACUAGAAUUAUGUUGAAAGCAAUGCACUUGGAUCUUACCAACAACUCUUCAAGGCCAUUCAUGAAGUUGUCAAUUCUCUCCUGCAAGUAAAUUGGGUUGUAUUUGGAAGAUUGAACACAGAAACAAAAUCCAUAAAUACAGUAUGUUACUCGUGGGCUACAUUCAACAACAUAACCAAGCUGCUCCUUUGUCCUUAGCUGAUUAAAAAGUGGCUCCUCCACAAGUUCAUCAAAGAGAUCUAUUACUGCUUUCAAUUUUAUCAAUGCAGUGCCUUCUUCAGGUUCAAUCUGAAAAUAAAGCUCAACCACAGAGUUUGUUUCCAGUUUAUUUUUUACUCUGACAUCUCUGACUAGAUCAGCGGCGGUUGGAAGACACAUGACAUACUCUUUAUGCCUCAUCUCAAAUGGUAGCGCUUGCACAGAGAAAUUACUUCUAAAUAUUUUUGAUAUGUUGAGUGCUUCUUCCUCCAGCAAAUUUCCAUGGCAAAGUCCCUCAAUAUACAGCUGGGAAAGAAGCUCUGGAAUGAAGAAGUUCAGAUCAGAGAGAGUCAAGUCAUUUAACAAGAACAACUUCUCUUCCACGUCCCAGAAGCUCUGACACAAGACUUGCAGUCGCAGGUAUGAUGAAUGAUUCAAGGGCUUCAUGUUGGUGUUCUUCAAAGUUCUUACCAUAUCUUCCUUGAUAACCAUGAAGCGAUCAUCCCUUGGCGAAAAUGAUUUUGUCACUACCAAAACCUUUGACAAAAGGACCGGAAGCUUAUCAUUGAAACCAUAGACCUUAAGUUCCAACUUGUCACCAUAUAGAGAAACAGAGGUUUCCAAUUUAGCCACACUAGCCUGAUAUAUAAUCUCAUUCAGCUCAUCUUUUAGAAGGUGAAUAAAUAAUUCAGUCAGCAAAGCGUUCUUCAAAUUACUGUAUCCCCCUUUUAGUGUAAUACGGAAAUACGUAUUGGCACGAGGAAGCUUAAACGUGUUAUCCAGCUUGUACCAGAUCUUCAUCAGCGGUUCGUCAAGUAUACAUCUUGGUCUUGCAUUUUCCCAGUCACAAUUGGCUUUACCAGCACGUAUUGAAAAAUCAGAUGGAACAAACUCAUUCUUCGCAGGAAGAUGUAAGCAGGCAUUAAUUUCUGUAGGGUCCUUCCAUAACUCAAAUAGAGAAGAUGGAAUAUCUUUUUCCACAUAUUCUGAUCCAAACCAUGGUUCCCUUUGAACAUCAUCAGACUUCUGAAAAGACUUCGAUACAACGUCAACUCUCAUGUUCUCAGGCCUGAAGAAAUCCAAAACAUACUUUAUGAACUCCGCAUCCCAAACAUCAUAUGCGUAGUCCCCAUAAAUAACAUGCUCGGGAGGAUAAACAAGUAAACCCUCAGCAAGUUCUGCAGCAUAAUCAUCUUGAGGUUGCUCCUCCGCAUAUCUAAAAUCUACAUUUGCAAUAUCUUGGAGUUCCUUGAAAAUCCACUCUUGAGGAGAAUUUUGAUGCAGGAGCUUGAGGUAUUGAUAGACAAAGCCAAUGAUCUCAAAUAUCUUUUCCAAGCCAAAAUCUGUCAGAUGUAUUGACAUGCCAAAUAUGUACGCGAAUGAGGAGCGAUGCAUUCCUUCAUCACCAACACCAGCGGAUAUUGAUGUUACCCAGCCUCUAGCCUUUAGGAAGAAAAGCAAGGACCCUUUUCCUUCAUGUCCCAAUAGAUGAGCCAAGUAAUCUUCAGCUUUCUUCAAGUACCCUUUGCGAAGAGAAGGCAGCGUCCAUGAUAAAUCAAGGAUAUGAACAUCUUUAACUGCCUUUAACCAAUAAAGUUUGCCAACCUUCCAAAUGGGAAGCUCACUUCCUCCAUCUGGAUUUACCAAAGGGCCUUUCUUGACAUUGCUAAAUAAUUCAAGAACCCAACUUUCAAGGAUAUCUACUGACUCUCCCCCUAUAACAGCCAGUUUCAUGGACCCACCACGAUAAUUGUCAUGGUAUAGUCUAAGAAUUUGUUCUCGCAAAUUAACUCCUUUCUGCACCGCAUCAGCAAGGCUUUUCUUAUUCCCCCAAAAGAACCGGUUAAAGGGAUGGCCAGGAUUAGAUGUAUGGCACUGUAGUUGUUGUAGGCGGCAGGAAUCAUUUUGUAAGACCUGAUUAAAUUCCGAGUCCACAGCUAGUACCUCCCGCUCCAUGGCUUCAGCUUUAACCAAAGGUGAAACAAAAAACUGAGAAAACCUUCUCAGGGCUUCCUUAAGGCAAUCCCUCUUAACUUCAAAAUGGUAGCAAGUGUGUUCAGCUUCUGUAUAUGCAUUUGAACACCCUCCAUGCCUGGACAAGUAAUUAUCAUACUCAUUUUCAUCAGGAAAAUCAGUGCUUCCCAUGAAUAGCAUGUGUUCAAGAAAAUGUGCAAGACCCUGAGCAUCAUAAGGAUCAGAGAAACUGCCGGUUGUUACACACAUUGCAGCGGCUGCCUUUUUCUGUGAAGCACCUUUACUCCCUUUGUCUCUAACUUCAGUUUCUUCCUCAUCAUCAGUUUCAUCACUUUCUUCUUCUCCUUCUUCGCUAUCUUCUGCUUCUUCAUCUUCUUCGUCUUCAGAGUUUCCGGAAUGUUCUGGAAGUCCAUCGGGGUAGAUAUCAGGAUCGUGAACCAGAAGAGCACAGAGGCCAUUCGGGAGUUGAAUGUAUCUGUACAAACGCUUAUCGUUCGGCGACUUUUCUACUAUGUCAUCUGCAGUAAAGGUACGGCCGCCGACUGCCAUUGUUUUCAAGUGUAGAGAAAGAUUAUUAGUAAAUUGUACUCUCUCUUCACAGAUUACUCUGUUCGAGUUAUUCUCUAGGUUCGCUGUUUA
rnacentral:misc_RNA from 1 species